rnacentral:rRNA from 1 species
AUUGAACGCUGGCGGCAUGCCUUACACAUGCAAGUCGAACGGCAGCACGGGAGCAAUCCUGGUGGCGAGUGGCGAACGGGUGAGUAAUAUAUCGGAACGUGCCCAGUCGUGGGGAUAACGUAGCGAAAGCUACGCUAAUACCGCAUACUAUCUAUGGAUGAAAGCGGGGGAUCGCAAGACCUCGCGCGAUUGGAGCGGCCGAUAUCAGAUUAGGUAGUUGGUGAGGUAAGGCUCGACCAAGCCCGACGAUCUGUAGCUGGUCUGAGAGGACGACCA